rnacentral:rRNA from 1 species
CAGUCGCCACGGGAAUACGAAGGGGGCUAGCGUUGUUCGGAGUCACUGGGCGUAAAGAGCACGUAGGCGGAUCUUUAAGUCAGAGGUGAAAUCCCGAGGCUCAACCUCGGAACUGCCUUUGAUACUGGGGAUCUCGAGUCCGGGAGAGGUGAGUGGAACUCCCAGUGUAGAGGUGAAAUUCGUAGAUAUUGGGAAGAACACCGGUGGCGAAGGCGGCGACCUGGUCCUUGACUGACGCUGAGGCGCGAAAGCGUGGGGAGCAAACAGGAUUAGAUACCCCUGUAGUCCCUGUCUCUUAUAC